rnacentral:rRNA from 1 species
AGUGAACGCUGGCGGUAGACCUAACACAUGCAAGUCGAACGGCAGCACAGUAAGAGCUUGCUCUUACGGGUGGCGAGUGGCGGACGGGUGAGGAAUACAUCGGAAUCUACUUUUUCGUGGGGGAUAACGUAGGGAAACUUACGCUAAUACCGCAUACGACCUACGGGUGAAAGCAGGGGAUCUUCGGACCUUGCGCGAUUGAAUGAGCCGAUGUCGGAUUAGCUAGUUGGCGGGGUAAAGGCCCACCAAGGCGACGAUCCGUAGCUGGUCUGAGAGGAUGAUCAGCCACACUAGAACUGAGACACGGUCCAGACUCCUACGGGAGGCAGCAGUGGGGAAUAUUGGACAAUGGGCGCAAGCCUGAUCCAGCCAUACCGCGUGGGUGAAGAAGGCCUUCGGGUUGUAAAGCCCUUUUGUUGGGAAAGAAAAGCAGCAGGUUAAUACCCCGCUGUUCUGACGGUACCCAAAGAAUAAGCACCGGCUAACUUCGUG